UACGUAGGGUGCGAGCGUUGUCCGGAAUUAUUGGGCGUAAAGGGCUCGUAGGCGGUUUGUCGCGUCGGGAGUGAAAACCUCGGGCUUAACUCGGGGCUUGCUUUCGAUACGGGCAGACUGGAGGUAUGCAGGGGAGAACGGAAUUCCUGGUGUAGCGGUGAAAUGCGCAGAUAUCAGGAGGAACACCGGUGGCGAAGGCGGGUCUCUGGGCCGAUACUGACGCUGAGACGCGAAAGCGUGGGGAGCAAACAGG
rnacentral:rRNA from 1 species